rnacentral:rRNA from 1 species
GAUGAACGCUGGCGGCGUGCCUAAUACAUGCAAGUCGAGCGAACAGACGAGGAGCUUGCUCCUCUGACGUUAGCGGCGGACGGGUGAGUAACACGUGGAUAACCUACCUAUAAGACUGGGAUAACUUCGGGAAACCGGAGCUAAUACCGGAUAAUAUAUUGAACCGCAUGGUUCAAUAGUGAAAGACGGUUUUGCUGUCACUUAUAGAUGGAUCCGCGCCGCAUUAGCUAGUUGGUAAGUUAACGGCUUACCAAGGCAACGAUGCGUAGCCGACCUGAGAGGGUGAUCGGCCACACUGGAACUGAGACACGGUCCAGACUCCUACGGGAGGCAGCAGUAGGGAAUCUUCCGCAAUGGGCGAAAGCCUGACGGAGCGACGCCGCGUGAGUGAUGAAGGUCUUCGGAUCGUAAAACUCUGUUAUUAGGGAAGAACAAAUGUGUAAGUAACUAUGCACGUCUUGACGGUACCUAAUCAGAAAGCCACGGCUAACUACGUG